rnacentral:rRNA from 1 species
GACGAAAGCUGGUUGCGCUGCUUAACACCUGAUAUUCGAACAGAAAGGCCCUUCAGUUUACUCGAGUGACUAACGGAUGACAUAACACAUGGGUGAUCUGCUUUGCAAUUUGGGAUAAGCCCGGGAAACUGGGUCUAAUACCUAAUAGGACCUCUCGCUUCAUGGAGUGCGGUGAAAAACUUUUGCUGAGUACUAUGGGCCCUCCCCCUCUUCCUUUGAUUGGAGGGGUAAUGGCCUACCAUGGCUACCACCGGUACCCGGUCUGAAAAGGUGACCGGGCUCGCGCGUCACUGAGAUACUGUCCACACUCUUACAGGAGGCAACCUUACGAAAUAUUGGCCACUGCUGUCAAGCCUGAUGCAACGACGCCCCCUGAUGUAUGACCGCCUUCGAUUUGUGAACCUCUUUCAAUAGGGACUACGCGCUGCUGACAAUUCCUAUACAUGAUCCGCCGGUUGUGUACGUGCCCGCAAAUUCCUUUAUACUUAAGGCGUGAGCGCUGACUCGACUUACUGGGUAUAUAGAGCUCUUACUACGGUUGUCGCGUUGUUCGUGAAAACUCACAGCUUAACUGUGGGCGUGCGGGCGAUACGGGCAGACUAGAGUACUGCAGGGGAGACUGGAAUUCCUGGUGUAGCGGUGGAAUGCGCAGAUAUCAGGAGGAACACCGGUGGCGAAGGCGGGUCUCUGGGCAGUAACUGACGCUGAGGAGCGAAAGCGUGGGGAGCGAACAGGAUUAGAUACCCUGGUAGUCCACGCCGUAAACGGUGGGUACUAGGUGUGGGUUCCUUCCUUGGGAUCCGUGCCGUAGCUAACGCAUUAAGUACCCCGCCUGGGGAGUACGGCCGCAAGGCUAAAACUCAAAGGAAUUGACGGGGGCCCGCACAAGCGGCGGAGCAUGUGGAUUAAUUCGAUGCAACGCGAAGAACCUUACCUGGGUUUGACAUGCACAGGACGCCGGCAGAGAUGUCGGUUCCCUUGUGGCCUGUGUGCAGGUGGUGCAUGGCUGUCGUCAGCUCGUGUCGUGAGAUGUUGGGUUAAGUCCCGCAACGAGCGCAACCCUUGUCCUAUGUUGCCAGCGGGUUAUGCCGGGGACUCGUAGGAGACUGCCGGGGUCAACUCGGAGGAAGGUGGGGAUGACGUCAAGUCAUCAUGCUCCUUAUGUCCAGGGGCUCACACAUGCUACAAUGGCCGGGUACAAGGGCUGCCAUGCCCUGAAGUGGAAGCGAAUCCUUUCAAGCCCGUCUCAUUUCGGAUCGGGGGCUGGCACUCGACCCCGUGAAGUCGGAAUCGCUAGUUAUCGCAGAUCAGCAACGAAUGCGGUGAAUAAGUUUUCGUCCUU